rnacentral:rRNA from 1 species
UACGAAGGGUCCAAGCGUUAUCCGGAUUUAUUGGGUUUAAAGGGUGCGUAGGCGGCUUAUUAAGUCAGUGGUGAAAGCCUGUAGCUUAACUACAGAACUGCCAUUGAUACUGAUGAGCUUGAAUAUACUUGAGGUUGGCGGAAUGUGUCAUGUAGCGGUGAAAUGCUUAGAUAUGACACAGAACACCGAUUGCGAAGGCAGCUAGCUAAAGUACAAUUGACGCUGAUGCACGAAAGCGUGGGGAGCAAACAG